rnacentral:rRNA from 1 species
GACCUCAAAUCAGGUAGGAUUACCCGCUGAACUUAAGCAUAUCAAUAAGCGGAGGAAAAGAAAAUAACAAUGAUUCCCCUAGUAACGGCGAGCGAAGAGGGAAUAGCUCAAAUUUUAAAUCUGUUGGGUUUUACCUAACCGAGUUGUAAUUUGAAGAAACGUUUUCUGCUGUAACUUUCUAACCUAAAUCCUUUGGGAUAAGGUAUCAAGGAGGGUGAGAAUCCCGUCUGGUUAGAAAGUUACAGCUUACGAUACGUUUUCUAAGAGUCGAGUUGUUUGGGAAUGCAGCUCAAAAUGGGAGGUAAAUUUCUCCUAAGGCUAAAUAAAGGCGAGAGACCGAUAGCGAACAAGUACCGUGAGGGAAAGAUGAAAAGAACUUUGAAAAGAGAGUUAAACAGUACGUGAAAUUGUUGAAAGGGAAACGAUUGAAGUCAGUCGUACCGACGAGGAAUCAACCUUUUGAGGGUGGAUAUGUGGGAUUCAAAGUGCCUUUGUUUUUCGCAUCAUCUGCUUUUUUUGGGUGUACUUUUUCGUAUGGUAGGUUAACAUCGGUUUUGAUCGUUAUAAAAUGACUGGAGGAAUGUAGCUUUGAUCUUGUAUUGAAGUGUUAUAGCCUUUGGUAGAUGUAACGGUUAGGAUCGAGGAUUGCAAUGGAUACCCUCAUGGGCUAUCCGUCUGGCCUCUGAUUUGUCACUUUGGUGCUGAAAGCGUGCUUAUGGUAUUAAAGUGUACGGUCAAAAGGUUAGAACGGAAUAAAUUCAUUAAGGAUGUUGACGUAAUGGCUUUAAACGACCCGUCUUGAAACACGGACCAAGGAGUCUAACAUAUAUGCGAGUGUUUGGGCGAAAAAACCCUUACGCGUAAUAAACGUAAUUUAGGUGGGAUCCAUUUUAUUGGAGCACCAUCGACCGAUCAGGAUAUUU